GUGUCAGCAGCCGCGGUAAGACGAACCGUGCGAACGUUGUUCGGAUUCACUGGGCUUAAAGGGCGCGUAGGCGGGUCGGUCCGUCUGGGGUGAAAUCCUCUCGCUUAACGAGAGAACGGCCCUGGAUACCACCGAUCUCGAGGGAGGUAGGGGCAUGUGGAACUUCCGGUGGAGCGGUGAAAUGCGUAGAUAUCGGAAGGAACGCCGGUGGCGAAAGCGACGUGCUGGACCUUUUCUGACGCUGAGGCGCGAAAGCCAGGGGAGCAAACGGGAUUAGAUACCCCCGUAGUCC
rnacentral:rRNA from 1 species